GUGAGAUCUGUUAACCUGGGAAAAUCGAGCUUGGUCCACAAAUAAAUGCUGCAAAUUCAUCCAGUGAAAUCAGGCAGUCGGUGUGAACGGCUGCACGAAGAACAAAUAAUUUUGUCAAGUUUUGUGAAGUAAAUUUAUGAUACACAACACAGUGUUUAUGAGGAUUAUAGAGCUUGUUAUGUACCCAUUUUGUUUUUACAUUUGAUGGUUGCAUGUUUUGAUAUUUACAUGUUUACAUAUUUGAAUGUUUAUAUGCACUUUCAAAGCAGUAAUAACUACAUACUGAAUGCUGCAGUUACCUGAGUCUGGGAUUUCCUGGCUUCUGAUUUGCUAGGGAAGUCUCGUGGGGGCUGCACACAGGAAGUGCUGUAUUUGUUUUGUGGAGAUUAAAGGUGCUGCUAAGAAAGUUAUCCAUCUUCAUGUUGCAGUUUCUAAUAGUUCACAGAGAUUCAGAACCACAUAACGAACCAUCUGAAAUGUUCACAUGGGUGCAGUGUGUGAAGGCCUUCAGUGUCACUUUGAGGAAAAUCAACCAAACUUCUUUAAAAUUUCUUUUCUUCCUCUUUCUGGUGCGAAGUGGGCAAUAGAGGUAAGUGACGGAAGUGACGGCGGUAAGGUAAGGACCCAUGUUGUAGGUGACGUCAGACGCCGGAGAUUUGGCGGAAAAAAAACAAAACAAACGAAUGGUAGCCUAGAAUUUAACAAAGUUUCUUUAAUCUUCAGUAUUGUCAAAUAAACUAACCAACUGUCAUAUAACUAACAACAUCUGUCCUAUCAUCUCUAACACCCUGGAGGACAACGAGGAGAGUUUAGACGCUCUCCAAGAAUACAUCGACCGGUGCUUCGAAGAUUUAGUAAUGAAGAAGGCCCAGAGCAUGUCUUCCCCGGCCAAAACUGAGACGCCAUCAUCUAAAAGAUAUCGCCCGGCAGACUCCCCCGGCACAACAUCGCCUGCCGGCAAAGAUAUCGUCGACAUCCUGGAGUCAAUCGAUAAGCGAUUGUCCAGUUUUGAUGCGAGGCUGUCCCUGGUGGAGAUCUUACACCGGGAAUUUCAAUCUCUAAAAGAAUCCCUGGAGUUCAGCCAGAAGCAGAGUCUGCCGGAGAGGACCCGGAAACGACCGUGAGAAGCUUCAUUAAAAUCCACCUGAAGCUGCCGGAGGACACGGUGAAAAACAUAGGGUUUGAAAGAGUGCAUCGCAUCGGGGCUCCGAAGACAGGAAGCGGGAGACCGCGUCCUAUUGUGACCAAAUUCGGCCACUUUAAGCAGAAGGAGCAGGUGAAGAGUCGCGGCAGAGAGCUGAAAGGAACAGACUUCAGCGUGAACGAUCAGUUCCCCAGAGAGAUCCUGGAACGACGCAGGGUCCUGUUCCCAGUCCGACGUAGUUUUAUUCAGAAAGGCUCCCGGGCUGUCAUCGCCGUGGACCGGCUCUACGUGGACGGACAGCUCUACCGCGACCCCGGCAUCACUCCGCACACCAGAUAAGAAUCCGCUACGCUAUUCUCUUCAC
ensembl:lncRNA